AAAUUAGGAGGUCUUGUAUGAUUGAUAAUGAGAACGUGCAUGGAAGUACGGGAUUCAAUAAAUAGCAAAGGCCUUCCGAAGAGUCUAUUCACAAGUUCGUGGCAUGACGAAAUGUGAAACAGCUAGAAAGAAAUAAUGGGAAUCUGUUUCGGUUGGCUGAGUAGAGGGAAUGCUCUUACUCUUCUACCUCCUCCUCCACUAGAUCGUGAAGAAACAUACAAAGAUUUGAAAACUUAUCUGCAUGAAAGCCAUGAAAAGGCUGAUCAACUUCAGCAGAAUUUUGCAGACAAAGUGAUACAAAGUAAAAGAAUUAUUAAAAAUGCCAGAAAGAAAAUUGAAAAAGACUUAAGAAAGUCAAAAAAGACUAAACCGCUCCCAGAAAAGAAGGCAGAGGAAAUAGUCAAUCAUAUACAAAAGG